rnacentral:rRNA from 1 species
AGUGGGGGAUAACAUUUGGAAACAGAUGCUAAUACCGCAUAGAUCCAAGAACCGCAUGGUUCUUGGCUGACAGAUGGCGUAAGCUAUCGCUUUUGGAUGGACCCGCGGCGUAUUAGCUAGUUGGUGAGGUAAUGGCUCACCAAGGCGAUGAUACGUAGCCGAACUGAGAGGUUGAUCGGCCACAUUGGGACUGAGACACGGCCCAAACUCCUACGGGAGGCAGCAGUAGGGAAUCUUCCACAAUGGACGCAAGUCUGAUGGAGCAACGCCGCGUGAGUGAAGAAGGCUUUCGGGUCGUUUAACUCUGUUGUUGGAGAAGAAUGGUCGGCAGAGUAACUGUUGCCGGCGUGACGGUAUCCAACCAGAAAGCCACGGCUAACUACGUGCCAGCAGCCGCGGUAAUACGUAGGUGGCAAGCGUUAUCCGGAUUUAUUGGGCGUAAAGCGAGCGCAGGCGGUUUUUUAAGUCUGAUGUGAAAGCCCUCGGCUUAACCGAGGAAGCGCAUCGGAAACUGGGAAACUUGAGUGCAGAAGAGGACAGUGGAACUCCAUGUGUAGCGGUGAAAUGCGUAGAUAUAUGGAAGAACACCAGUGGCGAAGGCGGCUGUCUGGUCUGUAACUGACGCUGAGGCUCGAAAGCAUGGGUAGCGAACAGGAUUAGAUACCCUGGUAGUCCAUGCCGUAAACGAUGAAUGCUAGGUGUUGGAGGGUUUUCC